AUGGGGGUCGGGGGGGCACCUCCCGGAGCCCAAGGCCCUGGGCUCUCGCUCACCUUAGAGUUUGGUUCUUUGCCGUCGCGGUUCCCCGAGCUCCAAACUGCGCCAGGCUGGCGGGCUGCUGAGUGUCCCAGUCCUGUCCCCGCCACCCCCCACCAGGCUGCCGCACGACUCCCCGGGCAUCGCCUACCAGUGCUUAAUCACGGUCGCUUUAUAGGCUGUCCGGUGGCCCAGGGUUGGCUUCGCUUCCCGUCCCUGGCCCAGCUGCACGUCAUACGUGACCGGCUGCUUGUCACACCCGUGCGACCCGGUUCCUGCGGACCUAUAGAGGGCCGUGACUGGGUCCCCGAGGCCCCCCGGUGGGUCCCGCAGCCUGUGGCUCCUGGGCCCUGCCUCAUCUGUCCAGGUAAAGGCAGGUGCCCCCCGAGUCCUGCUAGAGGGCUCGCUGUGUCAGGACACAGCCUCUCGUGGGCUGAGACGAUGAGCCCACAUCCGGGCAGCAGGGGGGCCGGGAGGGCAGGUCCAGGAAACACGGGGGACCCUGGGCUCCGAAGGCCUCCCCACGAAGCCAUCCGGUCAAGGAGACAGGAGCUGGGCAGACAGGUACCCGUGUCCCCGUCUGGGCCCGGCCCGGUGGCCGGCUGUAUACUGCAGGCGCCGACUUCUUGCACAGCCCCGGCAGGCCACAGACCGCGAGGGCUCACAUGUGAGUGCACUGGUGCAAGGCGGGGGCAGCUGUCCAGGCCCAGCUGUCACACGCGGCCCGAUGGGCCACCGCCUUCCUCUGAUGCGCCCCGGAUGGCGGCCAGCCACGCCGUCACCCCAGCCCCGCUGCCGCAGCUUCACAUCCUUUCAGGAAAGGCCAGAAUUCGGAUCUUUUUCUUUUGUCAUGACGACCUCCCAGGUUUCAGUUGUUGGCAACCAGCUCACGUCCUGCUGGCACGUCGCCCAAGCCCCGAGCCCGCCAUCGGGGCCCAGCCUGGGCCAAGGCCGGGGAGCCGCGGGCUCUGGGGUCCUCCUGCCCCCCACCCCCCGGGCAUGGACAGGAGAGCGGAAGGCCGCCAACAGGAUGGGGCCCCUGCCAGGACUCGUGCAGCAUCUCGGGCUGCUCUUGCUACAGGUCAAGGCGCCGCGGGGACCGUCCCCGAGCACCUGGGAAGGUGGUUCGAUGCCUGUGGCAGCGGGCUGGCUGCCUGUGGCUUCCCCCGGCCCUUGGACCCCGCAAGGACGGGGGGUUUUGGUGACCAGAACGUAGGUCAUGACUCCCCACCUCUGUCUCCCAUCUAA
rnacentral:lncRNA from 12 species